rnacentral:rRNA from 1 species
CUGGCUCAGGAUGAACGCUAGCGACAGGCUAACACAUGCAAGUCGAGGGCAGCAUAAAAGUAGCAAUACUUGGUGGCGACCGGCGCACGGGUGAGUAACGCGUAUGCAACCUACCUAUCAGAGGGGAAUAACCCGGCGAAAGUCGGACUAAUACCGCAUAAAACAGGGGCACCGCAUGGUGAUAUUUGUUAAAGAAAUUCGCUGAUAGAUGGGCAUGCGUUCCAUUAGGUAGUUGGUGAGGUAACGGCUCACCAAGCCGACGAUGGAUAGGGGAACUGAGAGGUUGGUCCCCCACACUGGUACUGAGACACGGACCAGACUCCUACGGGAGGCAGCAGUGAGGAAUAUUGGUCAAUGGGCGGGAGCCUGAACCAGCCAAGUCGCGUGAAGGAAGAAGGAUCUAUGGUUCGUAAACUUCUUUUGCAGGGGAAUAAAGUGCAGGACGUGUCCUGUUUUGUAUGUACCCUGAGAAUAAGGAUCGGCUAACUCCGUGCCAGCCGCCGC